UACGGAGGGGGCAAGCGUUAUUCGUCAGAACUGGGCGUAAAGGGUAUGUAGGUGAUUUUUUCUAAGAACUUGAAAAAACAAGAAGUUAUUUUUGUAAAAAUUGUUUUGGAAGAUAUUUGAGAUGAUUCAAGGUUGGCAGAAUUACUAAUGUAAAGGUUAAAUCUUUUGAGAUUAGUAGGAAUACCGAAGGCGAAAGCAGCUUUCUGGAACAUCUGACACUGAGGUACGAAAGCAUGGGGAGCAAACAGG
rnacentral:rRNA from 1 species